AAAGUUUUAAGUUAAUUAAACUAUUAACCUUCAAAGUUAAUUAUAAGGAAAUAUUUAAACCUUAAGCUUUA
rnacentral:tRNA from 1 species